rnacentral:rRNA from 1 species
AUUGAACGCUGGCGGCAUGCUUUACACAUGCAAGUCGAACGGUAACAGGCCGCAAGGUGCUGACGAUUGGCGAACGGGUGAGUAAUGCAUCGGAACGUGCCCAGUCGUGGGGGAUAACGCAGCGAAAGCUGCGCUAAUACCGCAUACGAUCUAUGGAUGAAAGCGGGGGACCGUAAGGCCUCGCGCGAUUGGAGCGGCCGAUGUCAGAUUAGGUAGUUGGUGGGGUAAAGGCUCACCAAGCCAACGAUCUGUAGCUGGUCUGAGAGGACGACCAGCCACACUGGGACUGAGACACGGCCCAGACUCCUACGGGAGGCAGCAGUGGGGAAUUUUGGACAAUGGGCGCUAGCCUGAUCCAGCAAUGCCGCGUGCAGGAAGAAGGCCUUCGGGUUGUAAACUGCUUUUGUACGGAACGAAACGGUCCUGGUUAAUACCCGGGGCUAAUGACGGUACCGUAAGAAUAAGCACCGGCUAACUACGUGCCAGCCGCCGCCGUAAUAC